rnacentral:tmRNA from 1 species
GGGGUUGACUGGAUUCGACGGGAUGAUUGGUUGCAGUGUAAGCAUGUGGUGCGUGGGAGGUUUGCACCAAAAUCUCAGCCUUCAAACUUUUAAGAGGCGAAUCUAACUACGCCAUGGCUGCCUAAUCGGAAUGAUUAAGUAAUUGCCAUCUACCCCGAAUGUCUCUAUCUGAGCCGAUGUUCUUCAGGGGUAGUCGACCCGCUCAGGUAUGACCCUCACCCAUCAACGCAGGGGAUCAUUACAAAGUUGGUUAAGGAAUCACGUUGGCUAGGGUAGAGCCGGCCGAUUCUCGAAAAUCAAUCUAACCCUAAACAUGUAGAAAGCGCUAGUAAUCGCAUAGCCGGACGGGGGUUCGAUUCCCCCCAAUUCCACUU